rnacentral:ncRNA from 1 species
GUCUAGCCAGUCUGGGUGAGGGGCUGAUGGCUGUUUUCAGGCUGGCGGGUGACUGAAGCUCCCAACUGCUCCUUGUUUUCUUUUUUUUUUUAUUCUGGGCUAGCUUUAGCUCUGGCUGCAGCUCUGAGGCCUCUGCUGCUGAAAGCAGGUAUCUAGUUUGUUUGGGUUCUAUAAUCGAAACAUUGUAUCAACUCCAGCUCUGAGAUCCCAGCGGGCUGAAAACAGGUUUCUGGGGUUUUGUUUAGCUUCUAUAUUUGUAACAAUUUUUCAAAGUGUAAGCUCAGAGGCCGCAAGGCAGGCGGGGAACAUUGGUUUCCCCCAUCACUGAAGCAAGAAAACCUCAUGUUAGCUUCAAGCUGCUUGGCUGCCAGCCGCCAUCUUGGCUGGCAGUUAAUUUGCAUAUCACCCUGAUUAGCCAAUGGGAAGGGUAGUGGAUAUACACUAAUUAAUUACCAUGUUUCUAUUUUAUUAGAUAGGAUACCAUGGGAUAUGUGGGUCAAUAUAUAUUUGUCUUAAUAAAGGAAUUUAAGCUUAAUUUAAACAAAUAACUGGAAGACCCUCUGAGGAUAUUGACUGGAUGUAAUUUCUGCCCAAUUCUCUAAAAGUCAAAGUGUAUAAAAUCAAUGAAGAGCAGUAAAGAGCAGGAGUAAUCUUAAGGAAAUGUGUUAUCUAAUUAGUGAUGAAAAUGAAUGUUCUUACCUUCUAUCCAGGAAAACCAUAGCCAACAGCUUGGCGGAAUCAACAGGAAAAGAAGAUACUGUUGUGCUUGACUCUAGUCCAGGUGAAGAGACCUGAGAGUUGUAUAAUAAGUGGGAGUUCCCUGGUGCUCCAGUCCCCAUGUGGGGACAUGGCAGGAUCUUCCAUUCCUG